AACCCAGCACGAGUCAUGUCGUGUUAUCAACAUGUGAAUACAUAGCAUGUUUGAAGGCAUACCCGGAGAACUGAAACAUCUUAGUACCCGGAGGAAGAGAAAGAAAAAUCGAUUCCCUGAGUAGCGGCGAGCGAAACGGGAACAGCCCAAACCAACAAGCUUGCUUGUUGGGGUUGUAGGACACUCUGUACGGAGUUACAAAAGUUAUUGUUAGACGAAGUAUCUGGAAAGAUACAUCAAAGAAGGUAAUAAUCCUGUAGUCGAAAACGAUAACCCUCUUGAGUGGAUCCUGAGUACGACGGAGCACGUGAAAUUCCGUCGGAAUCUGGGAGGACCAUCUCCC
rnacentral:rRNA from 1 species